GACGAACGCUGGCGGCGUGCCUAAUACAUGCAAGUAGAACGCAGUUGCGAACGGGUGAGUAACGCGUAGGUAACUGCCUCAUAGCGGGGGAUAACUAUUGGAAACGAUAGCUAAUACCGCAUACUGUGAGAUGGACCUGCGUUGUAUUAGCUAGUUGGUGAGGUAAAGGCUCACCAAGGCGACGAUACAUAGCCGACCUGGGAGGGUGGUCGGCCCAACUGGGAAUGGGGACCGGGCCAGACUCCUACGGGAGGCAGCCGUAGGGAAAUUUUGGAAAUGGACGGAAGUCUUACCGCGCAAAGGCGCGUGAGUGAAGAAGGUUUUCCGAUCGUAAAGCUCUGUUGUUAGAGAAGCGGUAACUACCCAGAAAGGGACGGCUAACUACGUGCCAGCAGCCGCGGUAAUUC
rnacentral:rRNA from 1 species